ACGGUACAGGGAAUUCCAGGGACUAAGCCUUGUGCUGGUCCAUUUGAUGCUACACGAAAAGUACUAAAAGCUGAAGGAAUUCGUGGUAUUUAUAGAGGAUUUGGAUUAACUGCUGUGACUCAGUCUCCUGCACAGGCACUUUGGUGGGGUGCCUAUGGUGCUGCUCAGCACAUCAGUUGGAGGAAUCUCGGUUAUAGUGACAACACGACAAGAAACCGUCUCACAUGUAGAUAGUUGCGGUCCAGGCUACAGCUGGAUUGGCAGCUGGUGCCUGUUCAUCAGUAAUUACAACUCCCAUAGAUACUGUUAAAACACGACUUCAGGUUAUCGAUGAUUAUGAUGUCGGGAGACCUUCUGUACUAAAGACCACAAAAACGCUUCUCAGAGAAGAUGGAUGGAAAGGGUUCUAUAGAGGCUUUGGACCUAGGUUCCUCAAUAUGUCUUUCUAUGGAACAACAAUGAUCGUCACCUACGGGAUCAUCAAGAGAUUAUCUAUUAAGCAAGUUUGAUCAUUCGGACUCCAAA